GGGCCCCUGGCAGGGCCUGGCGGGGUGCAGGGGAAUCUUUGGAGGCUGCUCUCUUCUCACCCCGCCAAAGGACACCCUUCCAACUCUGCCUGGCUAUAACCAGGUAGCAGCUUCAUAUGUCAGGCCCCAUCUAGCUCCCAAAUCACCCCCGCUACUUCCGAGUUUCCCUGGUGCUCUCUGCUCCUUGGAUUAAGCAGGAGGGAGAAAUGGAGAAAGAGCCUUUUUUCUACAAACACUGACCCAACUUUGUCCCCAUACACCUUAAAGUCUGAACCUGAAGAGGCAGCUACAGGCUCUAACAGAAGGAAAAGGCUCAUUCUUCUCUCCCCGCUCAGAGCAUCAGCUACUUAAAUGGAGAUGUCCUCAAAGGAAAAUAUAAAACACAGAGACAAUGUCUCUGUAUGACCUGAGAUUCCAUAUAAGUGUCUGAGAGAAGUCCCUCCCCGCUCCCCAUCCCCCAACACACAUUCCCUCUCCUAAGUCUGCACUGACUCCCACUCAACCCUGGUGCCAUGGAACAGCCCCCUCCAGCCUCCACACUACCUGCUCUAGGCCGCACCUCCACUGGCAGCUGCUCUGGCCACGUGCCCUGGGCCUAUAACCUUCAAAGUCUGGUCUCUGGCAGGCUGUCACAUUUUAUUCAAAUGAUGUGUAGGCAUACUCUCUGCUCCUCCAAAAAGCAGUUGAUCAUCCAGUCUGUGUUUACUACAGGCCUACUAUGUGCAAGGCACUUGGCAAAGCAUCCCAAGGUGGGUCACCAAAUUUCAAGCUGGCAUUAGAGAAUCACAAGGCUGGUGCACAGAGAGCUGGCUCUCCAGCAAGGACGUCUGGCCUGGCCGGGAAUGAUUCACUGAGCAAAAGGACAUGCCAGAGAAAAUGAGGAGGAUGUUCCAACCCAGGAGUGAGCCGACGGGUAUGCAGAGGCUGGAGCUGUCUCCUGCACACGGGAUCACGUCCCUGUGUUCCAGCCCUACAUGGGGUGCCCACCAGCUGCCCCACAGGGCCCUUAUCACAAACAUCACAAGCCUAUUUCACAAGCUCUUUUCUCCUUGAAAUGUUGAGAUCAAUAUAGCUCCACUGUUAUUUAGCA